rnacentral:rRNA from 1 species
GCGCGUAGGCGGAUUAUCAAGUCUCUUGUGAAAUCUAAUGGCUUAACCAUUAAACUGCUUGGGAAACUGAUAGUCUAGAGUGAGGGAGAGGCAGAUGGAAUUGGUGGUGUAGGGGUAAAAUCCGUAGAUAUCACCAAGAAUACCCAUUGCGAAGGCGAUCUGCUGGAACUCAACUGACGCUAAGGCGCGAAAGCGUGGGGAGCAAACAGGAUUAGAUACCCUGGUAGUCCACGCCCUAAACGAUGUACACUAGUUGUUGGGAUGCUAGUCAUCUCAGUAAUGCAGCUAACGCAUUAAGUGUACCGCCUGGGGAGUACGGUCGCAAGAUUAAAACUCAAAGGAAUAGACGGGGACCCGCACAAGCGGUGGAGCAUGUGGUUUAAUUCGAAGAUACGCGAAGAACCUUACCUGGGCUUGAUAUCCUAAGAACCUUAUAGAGAUAUGAGGGUGCUAGCUUGCUAGAACUUAGAGACAGGUGCUGCACGGCUGUCGUCAGCUCGUGUCGUGAGAUGUUGGGUUAAGUCCCGCAACGAGCGCAACCCACGUAUUUAGUUGCUAACGGUUCGGCCGAGCACUCUAAAUAGACUGCCUUCGUAAGGAGGAGGAAGGUGUGGACGACGUCAAGUCAUCAUGGCCCUUAUGCCCAGGGCGACACACGUGCUACAAUGGCAUAUACAAUGAGACGCAAUACCGCGAGGUGGAGCAAAUCUAUAAAAUAUGUCCCAGUUCGGAUUGUUCUCUGCAACUCGAGAGCAUGAAGCCGGAAUCGCUAGUAAUCGUAGAUCAGCCAUGCUACGGUGAAUACGUUCCCGGGUCU